AGACAGGUGCUGCAUGGCUGUCGUCAGCUCGUGCCGUGAGGUGUUGGGUUAAGUCCCGCAACGAGCGCAACCCUAUUGCCAGUUGCUACCAGGUAAUGCUGGGCACUCUGGUGAGACUGCCCCGGUUAACGGGGAGGAAGGUGGGGACGACGUCAAGUCAUCAUGGCCCUUACGCCUAGGGCUACACACGUACUACAAUGGCGCAUACAAAGGGCAGCGAUACCGCGAGGUGGAGCCAAUCCCAAAAAGUGCGUCCCAGUCCGGAUUGCAGUCUGCAACUCGACUGCAUGAAGUUGGAAUCGCUAGUAAUUCGAGAUCAGCAUGCUCGGGUGAAUGCGUUCCCGGGCCUU
rnacentral:rRNA from 1 species